rnacentral:rRNA from 1 species
GACGAACGCUGGCGGCGUGCCUAAUACAUGCAAGUCGAACGCACAGUUUAUACCGUAGCUUGCUACACCAUAGACUGUGAGUUGCGAACGGGUGAGUAACGCGUAGGUAACCUGCCUGGUAGCGGGGGAUAACUAUUGGAAACGAUAGCUAAUACCGCAUAUUAUUAAUUAUUGCAUGAUAAUUGUUUGAAAGAUGAAACUGAUUCACAACAAGAUGGCCUUGCUUUGUAUUAGUUAGUAGGUGAGGUAACGGCUCACCUAGGCGACGAUACAUAGCCGACCUGGGAGGGUGAUCGGCCACACUGGGACUGAGACACGGCCCAGACUCCUACGGGAGGCAGCAGUAGGGAAUCUUCGGCAAUGGACGAAAGUCUGACCGAGCAACGCCGCGUGAGUGAAGAAGGUUUUCGGAUCGUAAAGCUCUGUUGUAAGAGAAGAACGGGUGUGAGAGUGGAAAGUUCACACUGUGACGGUAUCUUACCAGAAAGGGACGGCUAACUACGUG